UCUUAUCUCCUGUAGAGAAUGAGCUGAAAUUGUAGAAAAUAGACACAAACUCUUAUCAUGCAAAUGGCUAACCUGCAAUGAAAAAUGCAUGCACAGCCUUGCCAGGUGUCUACUGUUAAAGUGAGGGCAUUGAUCAGAAAAGAACGAGACUCUGCAACUUGGAAUGGGAACAUGUGGGAGAACCCUGAUGAAGCUGUGGACACUAAAUUUGUAAACUCUGAUGAACCUUUUUUGCCAGAAGGAACAGCUUUCCCAUCCCCAGUAGUGGGAACAUCCCCUCCUUGACCCAAAUGCUGCCAUCAGCCUUUCCACUGUUGUCUGCGAAGAUGAAACCUGUGCUGCCUGAGGCAACAGUGAUGGCCUCCCUAAGGCAGUUGCCAGGCAAGAUAAUGCUGAUUCUCCUCAGGAGCCACCUCCAACACCACUGUUUGAUUCUAGACCUAUAACUAGACUAAAGUUCCAGCAGGCCUGUAGAGAUCUAACAGAGGGAACUACAGUCACUCAACUACAAAAUUUAAAUACAAUGGGAAUAAUUGGAUCCUGAGGUGGCAGGGGAAAAGUGGCAGCACUCAACCAUCAAAGGCAAGGUAAGCAUAGCUAUCAUAAUGGACACUAGAGAAAAAACAGUAAUCAGAAUAGUCUGACUCAUGUAGAGCUCUGGGAUUGGCUAAUUAAUCAUGGUGUUCCUAGAAGUGAAACUGAUAGGAAGCCUACUGCAUUCCUACUUAAUUUAUGUAAGCAGAAAACUUCUAGGUAGAAUGGACAAAAGACUAAUUUGAAUUGUAAAAACAGAAUCACGGCCCCUCAAUCAAUUUCCCAACUUGAACCAGUUUACACGCCCAGAACCCCUUGAAUGAAGGGAAGGCCAGGACCCCUUGAGGAAAGGCUCCACUACACUACCGAUUUACCAGAGUAACUGUGCAUUGGGGAAAGGGAUCAGACAUUUCAGGGACUACUGGACACUGGCUCUGAGCUGAUGUUGAUUCCAGGGGACCCAUAAUGUCAUUGUGGUCCUCCAGUUAAAGUAGGGGCUUAUGGAGGUCAGUCAAUUAAUGGGGUUUUAGCUCAGGUCCGACUUACAGUGGGUCCAGUGAGUCCCCAGGCUCAUCUGUGGUCAUUUCCCCAGUGCCAGAAUGCAUAAUUGGCAUAGACAUACUUAGCAGCUGAUAGAACCCCCACAUUAGCUCCAUGACUGGUAAGAUGAGGGUUGUUAUGGUGGGAAAGGCCAAAUGGAAGCCAUUAGAGCUGCCUCUAUCUAGCAAAAUGGUAAAUCAAAAACUAUAUUUCAUCCCUGGAGGGAUUGUGGAAAUUAGUGCCACCAUCAAGGACUUGAAAGAUGCAGGGGAUGUGAUUCCCACCACAUCCCCGUUCAGCUCUCCGAUUUGGCCUAUUGUGGAAGAAAAGUUAAAUAUUAAAUUUGAACUCAAUUGAACAUGGACACAAACAAUGGUCACCAACUUCCGGAACAGGUGGUGUGAGCCCCUUGAGGUGUUCAUUCGGCACUGUUUCAAAGAAACCUAUAUUAGUUAUUGCAAAACAGUAGACAAUAAUAAAAAAAAAAGUUGACCUUUUUGUGUUCCUUGAGCCCAGUCAUCAAGGGCCCUUGUGACUGGGCCUCAUACCAAACAACUUGUCACAAAAAGAGCUAGGGUCCUAGACUAUGCUGAAGCUUCAUGAGACCUCGUCUGUGCAUAUGGGAGUGUCCAACUCUGGAGCCCAGGCUGUUGCUUCUCAGUCUGGUGGUGAAUCCUCCAUAGUCUGGUGAGUGCGGUGUCUGACCCUGGAGCCCAGGCUGUUGCUUCCCAAUCUGGUGGUGAAUCCUCCAUAGUUUGGUGAGUGUAAAUGUAUAUAUAUAUGUAUCUUUUCCCUUCUCCCCGACCAUUGCAAUUUGCUUAUCAUAUCAAUUUGCCUAUAUUAAUUUGCUUAUUAUAUCAUUUGCUUAUUAUAUUAUUUGCGUAUUAUAUCUGCAUUGCCAUUUACGUGAGAUACAGCUUGUUUACUCUUAAAGGUACUGUGUGUGUGAUUUUCUCCCCUUGUGCGUUUCCUGCACAGAACACCUGUGCAGAAGACAGAUGAAUCUUGGAGAAUGACAGUGGAUUAUCGUAAGCUUAACCAAGUAGUGACUCCAAUUGCAGCUGCUGUACCAGAUGCAGCAGGUGGUUUCAUUUCUUGAGCAUAUUAACACAUCUCCUGGUACCUGGUAUGCAGCCAUUGACUUGGCAAAUGCCUUUUUCUCCAUUCCUGUUCACAAAGCCCACUAGAAGCAAUUUACCUUCAACUGGCAAGGCCAGCAGUAUACCUUUACUGUCUUACCUCAGGGGUAUAUCAACUAUCUGGCUUUGUGUCAUAAUCUUAUUUGGAGACAACUUGAUUGCUUUUUGCUUCCACAAGAUAUCACACUGGUUCAUUACAUUAUGACAUUAUGCUGAUUGGAUCCAGUGAGCAAGAAGUAGCAAACACACUGGACUUAUUGGUGAGAUAUUUGCGUGCCAGAGGAUGGGAAAUAAAUCCGACUAAAAUUAAGGGACAUUGUACCUCAGUGAAAUUUCUAGGGGUCCAGUGGUGUGGGGCCUGUCAAGAUAUUCCUUCUAAGGUGAAGAAUAAAUUACUGCAUUUUGUCCCUCCUACAACCAAGAAAAAGUCAUAGUGCCUAGUGGAUCUAUUUGGAUUUUGAAGGCAACAUAUUCCUCAUUUGGGUGUGUUACUCUGGCCCAUUUACUGAGUGACCCAACAGGCUGCAGUUUUGAGUGGGGUCCAGAACAGGAGAAGGCUCUGCAACAGGUCCAGGCUGCUGUGCAAGCUGGUCUGCCACUUGGGCCAUAUGACCCAGCAGAUCAAAUGGUG
rnacentral:lncRNA from 10 species